GAUGAACGCUGGCGGCGUGCCUAAUACAUGCAAGUCGAGCGAACAGACGAGGAGCUUGCUCCUCUGACGUUAGCGGCGGACGGGUGAGUAACACGUGGAUAACCUACCUAUAAGACUGGGAUAACUUCGGGAAACCGGAGCUAAUACCGGAUAACAUGUUGAACCGCAUGGUUCAACAGUGAAAGACGGUCUUGCUGUCACUUAUAGAUGGAUCCGCGCCGCAUUAGCUAGUUGGUAAGGUAACGGCUUACCAAGGCAACGAUGCGUAGCCGACCUGAGAGGGUGGUCGGCCACACUGGAACUGAGACGGGGUCCAGGCGCCUAAGGGAGGGAGCAGUAGGGAAUCUUCCGCAAUAGGCGGAAGCCUGGCGGAGCGGCGCCACGUGAGAGAAGAAGAUCUUCGGAUCGUAAAACUGUGUUAUUAGGGAAAAACAAAUGUGUAAGUAACUGUGCACGUCCUGACGGUACCUAAUCAGAAAGCCACGGCUAACUACGUG
rnacentral:rRNA from 1 species